rnacentral:piRNA from 1 species
UAACCCUCAUCAAUGGGAUUAGUGUCCAGAG